CAAUGCCUAUACAUACUGUGUUCUGACUUUUUUAUUUGGAAUUGGCAAUYUAGGCAACAAAAGCUCUUCAAAAGCAAAAUCAGAKUCUGGASUCRUUACAAAAGGAGUUUUCAGUGACUGACAGUGAACUGAGUGACUGGGUCAGUGAUGUAAAGGAGUGGGCAGAAGCUACAACUGGCACAACUGAUCCUGACUCUUUAGCAGGCCGAAUACAGGUUCUGGCUGCAAGCAUCAAGAGGCGAUCCCAGCGUCUUUAUAAGGACAUGGARGGAAACAAAGCUCGUGCCAAGAUUCACCGCAAGAUCAGAGAGGAAAAAAGCAUCUUAACAUUGGCUUUGGAAGACUACAACAAGACGGUUCCAGACACACAAGCUCUGUCUUUGGAAGAGAUUCUGUCCAAUGACACAACUUUGCCAUGGCAGCAAUCACACAGUGCAUUUCAGACUCUGUCAGUCUUGCCAC